rnacentral:rRNA from 1 species
GACGAACGCUGGCGGCGUGCCUAAUACAUGCAAGUCGAACGCAGUGGGGACGGGUGAGUAACACGUGGGUAACCUCCCGUCAGAGGGGAUAACACUUGGAAACAGGUGCUAAACCGAAAUUGGUGGAUGGACACGCGGUGCAUUAGCUAGUUGGGGGGUGAACGGCUCACCAAGGCCACGAGGCAUAGCCGGCCUGAGAGGGUGAUCGGCCACACUGGAACUGAGACACGGCCCAGACGCCUACGGGAGGCAGCAGUAGGGAAUCUUCGGCAAUGGACGAAAGUCUGACCGAGCAACGCCGCGUGAGUGAAGAAGGUUUUCGGAUCGUAAAACUCUGUUGUUAGAGAAGCGGUAUCUAACCAGAAAGCCACGGCUAACUACGUGCCAGCCGCCGCGGUAAUUC